AUCCAGCUGACGAGUCCGAAAUAGGAUGAAACGUGCAUUCUAGAU
rfam:Schistosoma haematobium scaffold2743_1, whole genome shotgun sequence.